AGCAAGGUGAAAAAGGCACAGUCCUAUAUUUCUGUUAAUACUUUGUACAAUAUAUAUGUAACAUCCCAAAUUUUCAAAACUCUCCAUGUGCAUUACAUUUCAUAUUGCAUUUAAUCACAUUUAAAAACCCUAAAAUUAACCCAGAAAACCAUUUUACAAAAGUGCUUUUAUUUGAAUUUGGGCCUGGUUCUUGCUUUUGAAUAAUUGCAUUUCAAUCCAUGAGGGUUUUGGCAUAAAAAGGGAUUUGAUGCAUAUAUAAAGCUAUCCCAUAAUUUGGCUUUUGAAUUCGUUUUGAAAGAACAAAUUAUUUUGAUAACUAAAAGGCCCUAAAGGCCAAAUUAUAGGCAAAAAUAUUUUUAAAUAUUUUAUAUGAGGGAAUUCUUGUCCCAAAAGUUAGAUCAUAUGAAAAUAUGAUUUUACAAAUUUUGUUGCAAUUUAUUUGGAGUGAUUUGGAGCUUUGAAUCAAUUUUGGUGUUCACAAACAGAAAAUAGUACGAAAAAGGAAAAAAAAAGAAAACCGUGACCGGCCUGCUAACCGACCGAACCGGCCUGCUAACCGACCGAACCGGAACAAACCGGCCAGCCCCGCACGCCUGAGCGCCUGUGCCGCCGACCGGUGGGCCCCGCCGUCUUCUUCUCCAACCGCCCCGUCCGGAAUCCCCAGCCACGACCCCGCGAGCACGCCUCGACCCCACCUCGUGAUUUCUCCACGCUCGAGCUCCCCUUUCCCAAAACCGUGCGCGUCACCCCGAAGCCCUCUCUUUUCUCCUUCUUUUCCCCCAACUCCCGCGC
rnacentral:lncRNA from 1 species